AACGAACGCUGGCGGCAUGCCUAACACAUGCAAGUCGAACGAUCCCUUCGGGGAUAGUGGCGCACGGGUGCGUAACGCGUGGGAAUCUGCCCUCAGGUACGGAAUAACUCAGGGAAACUUGAGCUAAUACCGUAUAAUGACUUCGGUCCAAAGAUUUAUCGCCUGGGGAUGAGCCCGCGUCGGAUUAGCUAGUUGGUGAGGUAAAAGCUCACCAAGGCGACGAUCCGUAGCUGGUCUGAGAGGAUGAUCAGCCACACUGGGACUGAGACACGGCCCAGACUCCUACGGGAGGCAGCAGUGGGGAAUAUUGGACAAUGGGCGCAAGCCUGAUCCAGCAAUGCCGCGUGAGUGAUGAAGGCCUUAGGGUUGUAAAGCUCUUUUACCCGGGAAGAUAAUGACUGUACCGGGAGAAUAAGCCCCGGCUAACUCCGUGCCAGCAGCCGCGGUAAUACGGAGGGGGCUAGCGUUGUUCGGAAUUACUGGCGUAAAGCGCACGUA
rnacentral:rRNA from 1 species